rnacentral:rRNA from 1 species
AUGAACGCUGGCGGCGUGCCUAAUACAUGCAAGUCGAGCGAACGGACGAGAAGCUUGCUUCUCUGAUGGUAGCGGCGGACGGGGGAGUAACACGGGGAUAACCUACCUAUAAGACUGGGAUAACUUCGGGAAACCGUAGCUAAUACCGGAUAAUAUUUUGAACCGCAUGGUUCAAAAGUGAAAGACGGUCUUGCUGUCACUUAUAGAUGGAUCCGCGCUGCAUUAGCUAGUUGGUAAGGUAACGGCUUACCAAGGCAACGAUGCAUAGCCGACCUGAGAGGGUGAUCGGCCACACUGGAACUGAGACACGGUCCAGACUCCUACGGGAGGCAGCAGUAGGGAAUCUUCCGCAAUGGGCGAAAGCCUGACGGAGCAACGCCGCGUGAGUGAUGAAGGUCUUCGGAUCGUAAAACUCUGUUAUUAGGGAAGAACAUAUGUGUAAGUAACUGUGCACAUCUUGACGGUACCUAAUCAGAAAGCCACGGCUAACUACGUG